UACGUAGGGUGCAAGCGUUGUCCGGAAUUAUUGGGCGUAAAGAGCUCGUAGGCGGUCUGUCGCGUCGGAUGUGAAAAUCCAGGGCUUAACCCUGGACCUGCAUUCGAUACGGGCAGACUAGAGUUCGGUAGGGGAGACUGGAAUUCCUGGUGUAGCGGUGAAAUGCGCAGAUAUCAGGAAGAACACCAAUGGCGAAGGCAGCUCUCUGGGACGGUACUGACGCUGAGACGCGAAAGCGUGGGGAGCAAACAGG
rnacentral:rRNA from 1 species